AUUCCAUGAUGUGGGCACUUUCUUUAGAACUCUUUAAAAUGUUCCCACGCAUCAUAUAAGGACUCCUCAUCCAGCUUAUGGAAAUUAUAAAAUUCUCCUCCAUAUCGGGCU